AACAUUUUUGCGAUGUAUAAAAACAUAUACCGACAAUUGUAGUCGUGACAAUAUUAUUCAUCCGGACACAAAACCUUCAUUUGAAGACGUAAAUAUGUUGAUAAUAAGCUGAUUCUGUACAUGUUAGACGAGUGUAAGUAACAGAUUUGAUAUUAAAGCGUAAUUGGUUUAUGUUUUUUAUAUAUACUAUCAUAAAAACAACAGUAACAAAUUGAAAUUUUUUAAAUCUAUUUCUAAGUUUGGAAAAGUAUUUUAAACAAAUCAAUGAUUACACAACAUGACUCGUCAAAGAAAAUAUUUUGUUAACUUAACUUUCGUGUGUAAGGUUUGGGUACAUUGUGAUACAUUUAUGUUCUAUAGGUGUUUGUUUUUUUUUUUUUUAUAAAAGCACAGACAGACACGAAGGCAUUCCAACAGAAUAAUUUAAACAAACUGGAUAUAAAGUAAUAAACAGCUGCGCAAUUAGCGUAUGAUACACCCGUUCGUCUUGUGUGUGAAGUUUUAUGCAAUAAUCAUAAACAGUUUCUUAGAUACGGCGCGACAUGUGAAAAUCCCCCUUUUUUCACAAAAAAACUCAUUAUUUGUAAUUGUACAAUACAAAUUUGAAUCAUCACAAAAAAGUAAACAUAUCUUAAGAUUAAUAUAACGUAGAUGUGUAUAAAGUUUUAAGCAAUAAUCAUUUAUGGUUCUCAAGAUAAGGCAUGACACAUGGAAAACUCCAAUUUUUUUUUUUUUUUUUUUUAACAAAAACUCAAUAACUCUAACAUAAAAAUAUUGAAUCAUUACCAAAACCUAUACAGAUCUUAAGAUUAAUAUAACUAAGAAGUGUGCAAAGUUUUAAGCAAUAAUCAUAAAAAGUGUCUGAGAUACGUCGCCAUUAAUUCCCCUGUUUUAGUUAUUAAGUGCCGUAUCUCAAAAAAAAUUAAAUCUUAUUUUCACCAAAAAAUAUACAGAUCAUUUGUCCAUCAGAAGAAACUACUAUGUAAAGUUUCAAGUUGCGGUACGACAUGUUUACGCCGGACAGACGGACAGAAGAAAAGACGAUAUUUGUAUACCACAAUACAUCCCGUCAACCUAUUGGCGGGCGUAUAAAAAUUAAAAAAUAAUAAAAUAACAGCCAAAAAAUACAACUUUUACCACAAAAAAAAUGAUAUUCUUAUUUCUUUAACUCUUAAAUAAUUUAUUCCUUUCCUAAACGGUGGAAAUUUUUUUUAUUAUAUCCACGUGUUGUUCGUUUGAUCUCAGUACGAUGUACUUCAUUCUUCUCAAUUCCAUAAUGACGUCAAGUUUUCUUGCUUUUACACUGAAAUUCCCUCUGUGACGUCAUGACCAAAGGCGAUUAUGUCUGAUGACGAGAAACAGAUGCCACCACCACAUAUCGGGCAAUACGAUAUGUAUCCUCUCUCGACAUAGAUAUAAGAAGAUGUGGUGUGAGUGCCAAUGAGACAACUCUUCAUCCAAAUAACAAUUUCAAAAAAGUAAACCAUUAUAGGUCAUUGUACGGCCUUCAACACGGAGCCGUGGCUCACACUAAACAACAAGCUAUAAAGGGCCCCAAAAUUACUAGUGUAAAACCAUUCAAACGGGAAAACCAACGGUCUAAUCCAUAUAAAAUAAAAAAAAACAAGAAACGAGAAACACGUAUAAAUUACAUAAACAAACGACAACUACUGUACAUCAGAUUCCUGACUUAGGACAGGUGCAAACAUUUGCAGCGAGAUUUAAAGUUUUAAUGGAUCCAAACCUUCUACCUUUUUCUAAAACAAUAGCAUAACAUCACAACAUAGAAAAACACACGAUAUAAUAUCAAUUGGCAGGCUUAACUCAAUCAAAAAACGUACAUUAAUACACUAUAAACGAAUAAAUGUGAUCUGCGAUAUCUGAAUGCAAAUGCACAGUUAAUAAAAUAUAAGGGACACACAUUCAAGGCUAAAAAGCAAAAAAAGUCCAAACAAAGCCAUGGCAAGUCAUCACAACCCUUCGAAAAUAUUCACUUUAAAAAAGAAACGGUUUUAAAAGAAUAAAGGUAAAUCUUGAAGUUGAUACAAAUGUAGUAAGAAGAAGUGAAACAUAGAAUAUAUCCCAAAUAAUCAAAGCUGGUAUAUAGACAAGAUCCAUAUAAAUAUAAAAUAACAAAAAAAAGCAUUAUAAACAGUAUCAACAGGUCGAAUUAACAAGGAAAUACGAUUUGAACGUACUAACAGUUACUGACAGCUAGUUAAAAGCCAAAAACAAUUAAUAAUAAAACAAUCAUGAAUCAGAGACUAAAAUCAACUAAAACACAUCCCAGGGAUUUAGUAUUUUAACGUCAUGAACAGUCAGAGAAGACAUGACUUGUGCAAUGCCAAAAAUAAAUGUAUCGACAGGUAGAAGAAUAGUGAGAAGCGACUUCUAUAGAGAUAAACAUUAACAUGUAUAUGUCUCUAUACAUCCCGCCUCAAAAGAAGACACAAGUUAUGUUUUAAUUUACUAAUGACAAAAUCGAUAUUAGUACCAAUGUAAACUAUAUUCAGAGAUCUAAUUACAAUAUUGGUACGAUAACCUUUACUUAUAAGUUUGUUUAAAGGUUCGAUGAGUUUAAACGGAUCACAUAGUGAUUUCCUCGCUUUAAGUGCAAUAUUACCAUAAAAUGUAGGAUGUAAAAUACCAAGUUUUCUACAGGUAUAGCCAAAUUUACUAAUCAAAUCUUUGUAUCUAUGAAAGAAUUUAGUAACAGUUUUAAGUAAUUUAUGGUAUCGAAAUCCCUGACACAGCAAUUUCCCAGUGAUGCAUUGAUUACGUUCGUUAAAAUCUAUGACAUCUGAACACACACGGGCAAACCGAACGAGUUGGGAUAUAUAUACACCGUAUGAUGGAGCUAAAGGCACAUCGCCGUCUAAAAAGGGAAAAUUAACAAUGGGAAAUGAAAAAUCGUCUCUUUUAUCGUAAAUUUUAGUAUGAAGUUUCCCGUUUGAAAUUGAAAUGUCUCAAUCUAGAAAAGGACAACUGCUGCUGUAUAUGUUAGAUUUAGUUAACGUAAGUUUUUUUGGGUAAAUUUCUGAAGUACAUUUAGAGAACUCUGGAUUAUUCAACGAAAAAAUAUCAUCCAGAUAAUGGAAGGUAUUUUUGAAUGUAUCAACCAAAUAUAACACUUUUAAAUAUCAAAAACGCUCGGCGAGCAUUGCCUUUAUAUAUGAAAAAUUAACUGUUUUAUCGUAUUUCACGUGAUGGUAUGGUAGAAUCUAUGUCUCUCAAAGUAUGGUAUGAUUUCAAAAUUUACAAUAAUUGUGUCUAAAUUUGACUGAAAUAUUUCUAAAUACUUUUAAAUGAGGGACGAAAGAUACCAGAGGGACAGUCAAACUCAUAAAUCGAAAAUUAGCUGACAACGCCAAGGCUACAAAUGCAAAAGACAAACAAUAGUACACAUGACACAACAUGUAAAACUCAAGAAUAAGCAACACGAAUCCCAUAAAAAAAUGCGGGUGAUCUCAUUUGAUUCGGAAGGGUAAGAAGAUCCUACUCCACAUAUGGCACCCGUCGUGUUGCUCAUGUUAUAACAAAUCCCGUCAUUAGUUUAAUUCGGUAUAUCACAUUCAUGAAAAGAAGGGGAUUGUAUUUAUCACGUAAGGAACAUAUCCGAUAGAACAGACGUAUGAUUAUCCAGAAUGUCCUCUUUGGUAAGUGUGAGGGUAUAUGUUGAGUUUUCAAGUCAAUACGCAUUUCGUUUAGCAAGCAGUAAAUGUAAUGAGUUUUACACACAAAAACAAUGUUGUUUGGGGCUUUAUCUGCGGGGACAACAACAUAUUUGUCAUGUAGGUAGGAUAAGUGUUUUGAUAGUCCAAAUAAAUAUGUCGUCUGGCAUUCCAGAUAAUGUAAAUCGAACGUUCCGGUCAUACGGGUCCAUUUAAUUUUACAGUUUUUUUUUUUGUUUUUUUUUUUUAAUUUUAUAUUCACCCGAAGUGACGUUUUAUUGGUAAUUGUGGGAAAACAUCUUGAAACAAAAAAAAAUCAAUUGCCCACCUCAAAUGGAAUUGUAGCUUAUUUUAUCUUUUCUUUUAGAUAUUUCUGGAAAUAUUUUACAUCAAUAAGCACAAAAAAUGUAGGACUUUGUAACUACGUAAAAAUUUCUAACCGGCAAUGAAAAUUUCAGGUCCAAAUUAGGUGUCAAAGUUCAUCCCAAAAUUUGCUCUCAAACUCCAGAUGUAAAAAAAAUGGCUUCAGCGUUAUGACGUUGUAGGAAGGCGUCCCAGAAAAAAAAACCAUUAAAAAAAGCCUUGCCAGACGUCAUAAUUAUUUGGACUAGUAUUUUGCAACAUUUGGGUUUUUAAAGAUUAUCUUUUUUAUAUAAUUUGUUUAUUGGAAAAACAUAUGUUAUAAAUAUAAACCAUUGCAAAGAGCGUACGCCUGCUUAAACUCCUAACUCCAACUAAUAUAAUGACUUUAAAGGUAUCCAUUCGUUACAUAAUGUACACAUUCUUUACCAUUAAAUGUGUAUAGCUGUUAAAUUUUGAAGAAUAUUUGAUGCGUUGACUUAAAUGGUUUCAUGUCAUUUAAAUUACUCUGAUUUCAUGUCCCUUUAUUGAAUUUUUGUAAAGUAUUUGUUGUACAUGUAUGCUCCUCACACAUUAUAAUUAAUACAGUUGUUACUUUCAUGUGUUUUAUUUCGAAGAAUCUGUUAGAACUGACUCAGUACGUAUUAGGUAAUAAAACAGUUAUUGAAUGUGUAACAGUGCAAUAGAUCAAAAUAUAUUUUGAUCUAUCGCAUAGUCACAUAUUAAAUAACUGCAAACUAUAUAAAAUAUUAACUCUAUGUACUUGUCUCGAUUUUGCUGAUAUACGAUGCACUUACUCACUAUGAUUAUGUAGUUUUUUGCCAAUAAACACAUUACAAAAAGAUUGACGUACCAUGGGCAUUGAUAGACUAAUUCAGUUUUCUAAUUCUGAAUUUUAUCAACGACCUCACAGCCUUAAUCCAUUCGGAAAGAGUGUCUACGUCUUUUAUUUUACGCUCAGUCCAUUGCCUGGCCUAAUCAUCAACUUAAUCCAUCAAAUUUUAAAGUUGUAUUUCCAAUUGAUGAAUUGAAGCUCACAAUAUUCGGACCUUUUGAUUACAAAUUUCACAGGGAAGUGUUAUUGACCAUGGUGAAGUCAACAACGAUAACGUGGCCAGUCGGAUUAUGUGUGAUUUGGGAACUAGCACGAGUGCUAAAAAGAGGUUUAGACUUGAGGCCAAAAACAAUUAACAAUUAUACAAAAUCAUCCAUCAAACACAUCCCAGGAAUUUAGUGUUUUAAAGCCAUGGACAGUAAAAAGUAAAAUCACAAAAAUACAGAACUCCAAGGAAAAUUCAAAAAGGAAAUUCCCCAAUCAAAUGGCAAAAUCAAAAGUUCAAACACAUCAAACGAAUGGAUAACAACUGUCAUAUUCCUGACUUGGUACAGGCAUUUUCUUAUGUAGAAAAUGGUGGAUUGAACCCGGUUUUAUAGCUAGUUAAACCUCUCAUUUGUAUGACAGUCGCAUCAAAUUCCAUUAUAUUGUCACCGAUGGGUGAACAAAACAAACAGACACAAUAGGUAAAAAUGUCAAAAAUAGGGGUACAGCAGUCGGUAAACGGACAGAAAGUCACAGGACAAAAAGUCACAGGACAUAAAGUCACAAAUUUGAUAGGACAAAAAGUCACAGGACAAAAAGUCACAAAUAGUUUGUUGACAAUUAUUUGAAUAUAUAAGAGAAAUAUCUUGAAAUCUUUACUUUUUAAUACAAAUAUUCAUAUUAAAGUGUAGGAAAUGUGUCAUUAUACUUGAAAAAAAGAAGAUUUAUUUAAUUUUAAUCAAGCAAAUGGUAUAUUUCUUGGCACCAUGAAGCCAUUUAAGUGCAAAGCCACGUUGACAUUUUGUUUUUUUAACAAUUAUUUGAUCAUCUUUGAUAUUUUUUGGUAAAUUUUGUUUACAAUGUUGGUUUAUAUACAAUAGUUCAAGAAAAAUGCAUAAAUAUUUUUGUAGAAAUAAGUGUUUUUUAUUCAAAGAAAAUAUUCAGAAAAAAUGUAUUGUGACUUUUUGUCCUGUGACUUUUUGUCCGUGACUUUUUGUCUGUGACUUUUUGUCCUGUGACUUUCUGUCCUACAUUCCAGCAGUCAACACUGUGUUAUCAUCUUUAUCACUAUAAAAACAACAAAUGUAACGAAGAAGCACAAAACGGCAUGCAUAAAAAUUAACAUCCUCAUUUUGCUUAUAUUAUACGAUUUUAUUUAUCUAUCUAAAAUACACCCAUAAAGGAUGGAAGGUUUUAAGUACUGGUGUAAAAUUGCGAAUUUGAAAUUCCCACAGGUAGAGAUAAAAUAAUUUUGUCGUUCAAAGUAUGACGUAUGUAUAAAUACAGUCACGUAAAAUAGAUAUAACAAAAAAGAGAGACUUAACAGUAAAUUAAAGUAAUAAUAGUAAAUAAAAUAAUAGUGUGGUUCAAAGUAUGACAUCAAAUGUUUAUCACAAAAAAGAGACUAACAGUAAAAGUAAUAUUGAUAAAAUAAUUUUGUCAUUCAAAGUAUGACAAGAUACAUUGGUACAGAGUCAUAUCAUAAAAUAUUUUUGCCGUCCAAAGUAUGAUGAAAGACAUAAGCACAGAGUUAUGUCAACUGGAUAUCUCAAAAAACAGACUUAACCCUAAAAGUAAUAAUAAUAAAGACAAAUAAAAGAAUAAUAUAACACGUUAUUAAGAUGAUAAACAACAUCAGUACGCAAAAUCUAUACUUCAAGACCAUCGUGUAUUAUUUGUGAAGUCGAAACGAAAUAUUUAUCAACAAGUUCUUGGUACCUUCAGAUGAACUCUUUAGAAAAAGGACGAGACUUUCCUUGACAUACCCCUGGUUCGUCAACUUUCAGCUAACAUGAGAAACGAAAAACACUUAUAAGCCACAUCAGCAAACGAUAACAACUACACAUCAUAUCUCUGACUUAGAACAGGGACAAACAAAUACAGCAGGUUUAAACGCAUACCUUUACUUCACCCUGAAACAAUAGUGUAGCAUCACAACAUAGAAAGACACAUCAUAAAAUAAUAAAUGAAAUGGCUUAAUUCAAUCAAAAGAUAUAUGAACACAAACAAAAGAAUAUGCACUGAAAGAAUAAAUUUAAUCUUUAACACAAUGUAAACAAAAUAAACAGGAAUUAUUAAACAGCAUACAAAAUACAACCGUAACCUUUGACAAAAUUUAGCCAAACAGAAUUACGUGCAAUGGUUCAUAAAACUAAUUUUUGUAUACAAUAAGUACAACAUAUUACUUUAACAAAAUAAUUUUGUUGUUCAUGGUUCGGGAAAAUUUAUCAUCCUCUCAAACAAUUCUCAAGGUGGAAAAUAUUACAAAUAGUGAGACGACAUAUCACACUUAUUAAGUAAACUUUGAAUUACAAAUGUUCAUUACAAAUUAAAUCAAUAGGUCAAAUUAACAAGAAAAUACUAUUUAAGAGUACUAAGAGUUACUGAAAGCUAAUCUAUAAACGCCAAAUUAACACUUUUUGGCUGUUUCGUGUCAGUCAAUUGUUUCGAAAGGAAGCCAGUAUGACCGGAAAGAAUCUCGAACUUUGGUAGAAAAACUGUUACGUAAUGAUAAAUAUUUCACUUAUGACAAUUUGAUGAUAACAAAAAUGAAAGUGUUGCAGUGAAUGUGUUUUCUUUUUAAGAUUCAAAAAUGGAUAUAUUUAUUGGGAUGAUGAAGACCAUCGUAAUGCAAACAAACCCCAUGGAGUUCUUCCCAGUGGACUCUAAACCUCUAGUAGGGACACGCGCAUAAACUACUGUUGCAGGUAUAUUUUACAUUUUGAUUUUUAAUAACAUUCCAAUUCCAAUUCCUUUUUUUCCUAAUCGAAGGGUCUUUUCGUGCUCUACAUAUUUUGACACGUUUUUCGCGCUUUUAUACCCCCGUUUUCACGCACUUUUCUGAUUAUGAUAAUAAACAACGAGAGAGAUACAAAAGGGAUAGUCGGAUUCAUUAGUCGAAUACAAAAGGAAUAUUCAAACAAAACGUAAAACGACCAAGGGCAAACAAUAGUCUGCAAAAUACCACAUAGAUAACUUCAGACAAUGCAACAAGAACCCAUCAAAAACUGGUAUGGUCUCAUGUGGUCCGAAAGCAUGUCGUCCGCUAUACGGAACACUUAGUUUUUACUUAUUCUUAGGCUCAAAAUUAAAAAAUAUAUAACUUUAUUGACUUAUUUCAUUGCUUUCAUAUUUGAUGGAUCAUACAGAACUCAGAUCAAUCUUCCAACAACCAUACCGUUCUAUUUAUUACGUUACCGAUCACCGUGCCAACAGGUACAGGGUAUGGUUGUAAGGGAGGAGAUCGUGAUGUUUGACGACCAGGACCGCCACAACGAAUACUAUCAAGGUGGAAGUCAUCCUUUGAACGACACAUCAGACAGAAACAACGUGCUCUACUAUUGUUAUUAUGAGUGUCGUUAACUUGUUUCUAUGUUCUACGAACGUCUUUAUCAAAUCUGUUAUCAACGUAUCAACGAAUUUUUAUCUAUAUAAUCAACAAGACGGGUGUUUGUAAUGGAGAUGAUAUGCCUACACUU
rnacentral:lncRNA from 1 species